AGAAUCAAUCACUCAACUAUGCCUCAGUGCCAAUACUCCCUCCAUUUCAAUUGGUUUGUCUAAUUUUUCUUUUUAGUCCGUUUCAAAAAGAAUGUCUCUUUUCAUGGCAUGUUUAAGACCAAAAGAUUAAAAGGCAUUUUGGUACAUUUAAUAUAUCUUUAAUUUAAGAGUUUCUUCACUUUUUUAAACUCCAUGCCAAGUCAAAAUAGGACAAACAAAUUGAAACGGCGGAGGGAGUAACUUUGUCCUGGCCCUCCAAAAGUAAGGAAUUACUCAUACUAUAAGACAAUUUAGGAACUCUCUAAAUGUCUGGCUUAUGGAAUAAUAACUAGUUUAACGGAAAAUUCACCUUCACAAUCAGAUUUGGACACACUAUUAAAUGAAUGUCGGUUACUAUUAACCAAGAGAAAGAACAAAACAUCACUGAAAUACAAUCCUAUCAAUUGUGACAAAUAUCAUAACUUUGAAGAGGAAAAGUCUAUUUAAAAUUCAUGCUAGUAUCUUUAAAUAAAUUGAGUCCUUAAAAAAUCAAAACUUUCAAAUUUAGCAAGGACAUCCAUAUUGACAAAUUGAAAUACAUGUAUCUA
rnacentral:lncRNA from 1 species